UCCAACCUUUUCCAUUCAUUGUCUUUAGA
rnacentral:sRNA from 1 species